rnacentral:rRNA from 1 species
AUUGAACGCUGGCGGCAGGCUUAACACAUGCAAGUCGAGCGGAGAUGAGGUGCUUGCACCUUAUCUUAGCGGCGGACGGGUGAGUAAUGCUUAGGAAUCUGCCUAUUAGUGGGGGACAACAUUCCGAAAGGGAUGCUAAUACCGCAUACGUCCUACGGGAGAAAGCAGGGGAUCUUCGGACCUUGCGCUAAUAGAUGAGCCUAAGUCGGAUUAGCUAGUUGGUGGGGUAAAGGCCUACCAAGGCGACGAUCUGUAGCGGGUCUGAGAGGAUGAUCCGCCACACUGGGACUGAGACACGGCCCAGACUCCUACGGGAGGUAGCAGUGGGGAAUAUUGGACAAUGGGGGGAACCCUGAUCCAGCCAUGCCGCGUGUGUGAAGAAGGCCUUAUGGUUGUAAAGCACUUUAAGCGAGGAGGAGGCUACUGAGACUAAUACUCUUGGAUAGUGGACGUUACUCGCAGAAUAAGCACCGGCUAACUCUGUGCCAGCAGCCGCAGUAAGAC